UCUCGCUGACAAAUAAAUUAAAAAAAAAAAAAAUCUUAAAAAAAAAAAAACCGAGAAGUACUUUUAAUGCUUUAAAAUCACGACCUUGCACAAUUAUUAACCAUAUCUUGAAAGUUUGAAAGAACUAACUCGAAACCAUUUAGACCUAGUAUCUUUUACGGAGUUAAUUCUGGCAUUUUCAGGUUUGUCUUAUGGUAAUCUGUCUGGUCAGGCUGUCCACUCCUUGACUCAGUUGGGGAGUAAUUAGUAUUUUCCUCAGAAGCCCUCCAUUUCUUGAGAUUAAAGAUCAGAGCAUAAAGUUUAUAAAAUGAAUUCCUCUUCAUGGCUGUAUUUUUUAUUGCCUACAAUUGAUCGUUUCUAAUUUUGUGGGUUAGGACUCCCUCCUCCUCUUCUUUGAUUGGGCAAACUGAAGUGUGGCAGGGUGUUUUGGGCGGUUGAAAGGUCCCGUCCUCCAAGUUUCGAUGAUCACAUUCGUGUUCCUAUUAUUUCCGACAUCUCGCGAUUGCUUUGUUGGAGUUGUUUCAGAGUUGUGUCUGUGACUUCGUGGACAUCUGCCCUUCCCUUCUAGUUUCUGGCAUUUCCCCCACUGUCUGAGAGCGCCUCCCGACCUCUGCGAGCGGCCUCUUCACCUCCAGCGUUGUGCUUGUCUCCCCUCUCAAGGGCCCAGCGAGGUUCUGGAGGAUGAGGGGUGGAGAGUCAGUGUUUGCUACGUCCCAUCUGCUCCGUAUCUAGCUGCUAGUCCUCUACAUGUGCAGCAGGUGGAUGGAUGGUCUUGCCUGGGUGGAGUCCGGGGAGAGGAUCCCCCUGCUUGGUUAUCCCUUGUUGAGUGUAGUAAGUGCGUGCAGCCUGCCAGAGCUCCCCUUUGCUGGAACUCGACACGUCAUCUCCCGUUCCUACAGCUCUGGGAGGAAGGGGUUGUUACAGGUGAGGGAACUGAGGCACGGGGAGGUUGAGUCACCUGCUGUGAGUACGCCCGCUACGCCUAAAUCUAACUCCUCCUUCUCCAGAGGUCGUGAUGUGGUGAUGUCACCGGUAUUGUUUGUGGGAUGUGGAAAGUCUUCCCCCGGCCUGGUUUCCUCCUUCCUUGUGCCUGAUGCCCCUUCUGAGCCUCUUCUGGGAGCAGGGAAGGCCUUCAGGUCCCAAGAGCAGGAGACGAAGGUCUCCUGGCAGAUGGGUUACAGUGACAGCCGUUGCUCCAAGUGGAGGUCGCCCCUGCCGUAGAGGGCAUGGGGGGAGGGAGAAAUGUGGAUGCUCUUAACGGAGCACAGCUCGGAGCAGUGGGGCCGGGGGAGUGAUUCUUUACUCUCAUCACCAACCGCAGAAGGGUCGGGAGGCGGCGGACCUCAGGGAACACUGGAUCUAGGAGCUCAGACACCGACAAGAGUCGCUCUUACUCUUCACCGACCAUCGUGAGUUUCCCUGCCUGCUGAACCGUCUGCUCCUUUUCCACACGGCAGAGCUCGCUGGCCACCCGGAGCCCUGGCUGGGCUUCAUCUUCAUGGCUGGGCCACCCAGAGGAAGGGGAGACUUCUGGGCCCCCUUCCACCAGCAGGUAGAUCCCGGGAAUGGUCUCUGGUGGGGUCAGAGCAGCGGUGAGGCAGGAGAGGGGCUGGGGGCUGGUGGUGGCCCUACUUGAAAUCUCCUUAGGACGGCGACAGGGAAGGGGCAUCUGCGGGCCCAGAGAGGGAGGGUGGGAGGUCCGCAUGGCAGAGACGCGAUUUCCCCAAGCCCCGAGCUUUGCAGCCUGGCGCAGCGGGAAGGCGGAUGCGGGAAGCCGAGAAGUCGUCCUCCCCGUGCCCUUUCCUAGCUGUGCGACCCCAGGCGAGGGCCUUUGUGUCUGCUGCGAGCACGAGGAGGCCCCUGUCACCCGGUGACCUCUCUUACUUUUAGACUUUCGGAAAGGGAGAGGAAAGCAACCCGAACCCCUUGGCCUUGUCUUUCCUUGCAGGAACACCUGCAGGAGUUGCCAUGGCAACGGGAUCUGCAGCCGCGCUCUUCUCGGGGCCCCCCUUGUCGGCCCCCCCGGCUUAUUAGCUUCUGCUGUCUGUCAACUGUGGGGCUGCGAUUGCCGGGGCCGGGAGAGCUGCCCCGGAGAGGGUAAUUGCUGGGUAAGGUCAGCACUCUUGGUCCUGGAAGAAGCUUGGAGAUGUUCUGUCCCCAGAAAUCGGGGUCCUCGGAAUCAACCUGCAGGAUGACCUGGGAAAGGUCCCAGGACCACUCCCAGCCUCGGGCCGGCAAAACGGCAGGGCAAGGUAAAGCCAGUUAUCCUCACUUCGCGAUCAGAAAACGGAGGUGAGGACAGGGUCACCCUGUGCGUAAGCCCCAAGGGUGGGGAGGGAACUGCCGAGUUCUGCCCCGAUCCCUGCUGUUUCCCAUCCAGUCCUCGGCCCCGCCCCUCCUGCCCUUCUCAUGACCGGAGUGGCUUCAGCAAGUGGCGCCUGCAGACCAGCUGUCAUCUCUAGCGUCACAAAAUGGGCUUCAUGAAGCUUUCUGGGGAAUACUUAGAUGUUUCGCUUCCGAUGGAAGAAACACCUCCGUUUCAUGGUCUGCUCAACUGGGUGUCUGGUCGGUAUAUUAAGACUAUGAUGAGGGGCACUCUGGGUGGUGACAAGGCAGUUCGGCAAGCAGAGGUCCAUGGGUGGGGGGCAUGCUGGGAAGAUGCUUGGAGCCAGGGGGUGCGGCCCCUGGAUCUGUGGGUGAGGCCUUGUCUGCUUCCCAGGGUCAAGGAAGAGGCUUCUGUUGAAGCCGCACCGUUGCUCAACCCUCUGCUCGGGGGCAGUAUCGUUCUCAGCGCUGGGUGAAGCAGGUCAUCAGGCGGGACCUCGUGUCCCUGCUGACCUGGACUUGGAACCCAUCUCCCGUUAUCCCUCUGGUUUUGGGUUAAUGGUGGUAGGAGACAUGGAGAUGAGCGCUUCCCAGGUAGGGCACAAAUCAGAGCAAAGCUCUUAACCGGGAGAUCCACUGCCCCGUGGGUGGCAUGGAGGGGCUUCAGGGGGGCCCCGGGAAUUCCUGAAAUCACGUGCAUUGUACAGUGUGUGGGCACACGUGUGUGGGAGAGAGGAGGAAGGAUGCCCAUGGCUUUUUCUGGAUUCUCAAAAAUCCAGAAAGGUGAAGAGACGCUGAGUAAGAACUUUUCUGAGGGAGACACAAGGGGCCGACUGAAGAGCUGGGAGCCCCAGGGAUGCCCGGAGAGUUUGUGCUCAGUGCGGAGCCUGUGUGGAGAAAGACGGCUGCAGUGGUCUAUGCACUUGAACUUCUGGGCCACCUGGCUUUGCCCGCAGACGCCCAGAGCAAAACAGAAACAAGCUUUGCAAAACCAACCCACACCCUGUGCCUGGGGACCUGCCACCUGCCUGGGGGAGAAGUCCCCCCCCCACCUCCUGGGGACGUCUGGGCCCUACUCAAACAGCGCUGUCUUUCCUGGCAGCCCUGCAACACCCCCCACCACCAGCAGCAGCAGCGUGCGGAGCAGCCUCUCUCACCUAGGCUGGCUCUGUUCAAGGGAACAAAAAGAACUCAGAAGGCAACAAUUUUUUAGGCAGGAAAUGGUUGCUUUUUAUGCUCGUCAAGCGUCUAGUGAAAUUCAGAAUAAAACCCACCACUGUGAAAGAGAAUAUGGGAUAAAAGGAGCUUUUAUUACCCUGGGUUCUGCCUCGUUCGAGAUGCUUACCUUUCCAUUGUGAAACAUAAACCUUCUGUGUGUCUUGGCACCAAGACACGCCCGGUGAUGAGUUGCUGUUGCUUUUCUUCUCACAGACCAUCUGGGCAACCGCGCCGGGAUCUGGAGGAAUGCUUGCGCGGUGGGAAAGGGGCAGAGAACGGCGCUAAAACUUUUCCAACAGUCAGUUUUAUGCAUGCACGGCAAUGGCUUCUGCGGGGAGACGGAGGAAGAGUUACUGCGUCGGAGCUGCCGAGCCUUGUGAAUGUCGCGCCAUGAAAUGCCACGUCUGGAACCAGCCCGGCUUGGGAGUGGGUGGCCGGACUGUCAGGAGCCCGGGCAGGGCACCCCCUGCUCCCGGGGCUCAGAAGAGGGGCUUCUGGUUCCCCUCGAAGCCACUGUAAAUGGCUCCCCGGGGACUCACAUGGAGUAUGGGGCCGGAGGGACCCUCCGAGGCAAGGGAUGGUGGCCUUGGCAUCUCCCCCACCAGGCGGAGGCACCCGGAACCACGGCGUCUCCCACUCUGCCACCUUGUGUCCAGCUCCCCUCGUUCCUGUAAAUCACCUGUCAGUCCUCCAGAUAAAGGAGUCUUUACGUUCUUAAAAAAAAAGAGAGAUGUUGUCCAUCUCUUAGUAGAGAUGUAGGGGGAAGGAGGUAACAAAUGGCUAUUGAGCCCCUACUAGGCGCAAGUCAGGCUUUUACGGGCCCGGCAUAUGUAUUUUUCUCUAGAACUUAGAUUGAUUCUAGGAGGCAAAGAUUUUCCAGUAGAAAAUUGGGGGACCAAGUGCUUGCCCAAGGAUGUUCAGCGAGUUAAGGGACAGAACCCCAAAUGGAGCUUCUUUGCCAUAUAGUAUGAUGAUAUUUUAGGAAUUAAUUCUUCAGCAACAGAUCUGCAAUACCUUGGAGCACUGGAAGCGUCCUUAGGAGUCACUCAAUUGGGCUGUCCUUUUUUGGUGGGGAUCCCUAAGGCUUGAGGGAGCAACAGACUGGGCCACUGGGGGAAAAUUCACCUGUGUCCUCAGGCCUGAUUCCCACACGGUGUCCCCGGGUGAAGUGCUAGAACCGGAAGGAACGGACAGCAGUGAUGGGCUGGUGGUGGCUUUUAGGGCUGGAGCGUGCUGUGUUGGGACAGGGCUGGGCUCAAGUCUUAUUCCCAAGAGACCCUGACAGAGUAGUUGCUCAACAAAUUCUCACAGAACUGACUCACACCAGAAAGGAGAAAGUGCACAAUAAUGAAUUCACGCCUCCAGAUGCCAGAAACCGACUUUUCCAGCUGGUGCUCUCUACGGGAAUGAAGGCAGGUUGCCGAAAGGCAUAGCCGAGAAGCAGACCCUGGCCAGUUGUGCAGCCCCAGUGACGAAGAAAGAGGAAAGCUCGGCGUCCUUCUCCCCACCGAAAUCCCAGGAACAGCCUGACAACCUUGCUUCAAGCCCAGCACUGAGCUGGGGAUCCAAUGUCCUGAAACUCAUUUCCAUCUGUCAACGUCUUUAAUUAGGUGGGGGAAUUUCAGGGACUGUGUCUGGACCUAGAGAACAUCCAAUAUAUCAUUUUUCAAACUUGGAAUAGGUCAAAAUAAAAAUAUGCCAACUUGCAAGCUGAUAGCCCCGCCCAGCCCUGAUGCUUUAAAAUAACCAUUACAACCGAACGAGGAAUGCGAGUAAUCAUCGGUGCAUGGCGUGCCGGGCUGGCGGGACAUGCUUCACGGCGCUUUAUUUCUAGCCGGGUUUGGGAGUGCCAGCAUCAAAUGCUGCCAUCUGUACGAAAUGCUACUAGCCUCAAGAGUCCUUUAUUUCCAAGCUCCUAAAAUCUUAAUGAUAACACACAUUAGUACAGCAUUUUUUAGUUUAUAAAAUGCUUUUAUGGACAUGAUCUCGUUUAAUUUAUGACUUACAACCUCCUGCACCUCGCAACCUCUCUAUAAAAAAAAUUACCUUCAUUUGACAUAGAAGUUGGCCAAGAAUUAGACGAGUUCAGGCCAGUUUUCCAAGGUCACACAGGUGGUACUGAGCCAAGUAGAUCCUUGAGUUUGGGUCUUGUCACUCUACACCCCCAACACUAUGCUCACGUCUCGAGCAAUUCUAACAGAUGUUAACGUGUGAGUUGACUACUCCUUGUGACGGGGAACUCACUCUCGAAGGAUAUCAGUGUGCUGUUGAACAGCUCUGUUGGACUGUUGAGGCAAAAGCUGCUGCCAUGUAAAACCCACUCAUGGCUCUCCCUGUGAGAGCGACUAAAGUGGGUUUGCUCUCCUACAAAUUGGCUUCGAGAGGGACGCUCCACGGGGCGAAUGGCUACCGGCAAGCACACUGAGCAGCUCCUCCUUCCUCAUCUUGCUUAUCAAGUGUUUGGGUGAAAUAAGCUUAACUCUGCCCACAGCACAGUUCUGAGGUGGGAUGGGCAACGGUGUCACCAAACAGACUCUUGCAUCCGGCGGACCCCCGUUGACAAAUUUCUGCCAAGAAUGGACAUUGAGCUAACUGGGCUGAAACAUCUGAAUUUCUGUCUGCCCUCGCCUUUGGAAAUCAUUCUCCAUAUUUUUUGCCCAAAGUGGCUCUGAAAACCCCAACAGGCUCCUCAUGGUCUUGUCUAUAACAUGUGUGUGUGCUAGAAACUCCUUUAAGGGCAUUUCACAUUCUCUCUCCCCACCGGCUGUGGAUCUCAACUGCACCCCCUGUUCUCUGGGCCUUUGCUGCCAUAAAGACGGUUCAGGGGGGUGAAGCUGGAGGUGAAGGGAGGCGCUGGAGGGAGUCCCCUCGGUGGCCCACCUGCCCACCUCCAGAGGAAAUGCUCUUCUUGCUGCAGAUUUUUGGAAGAAAGCUACAGGCCCAACGUGGAGUCGCUUGCGUCCAGGACAGCGAAGCAAGACUUCAUUGUGGUGUCAUCCUCUCCAGGCCUGGAAUUCCAAGCCAAUCCAUCUGGAAUUUUCUGGUUGGCGCCAGUGAGGGCCUCGGGCGCUGUGGUGCUGACUCCUCUCCGGCGUGGGUCUUUGGUCAAGAGCGUCCCCUGGCCGCUCACAGCCUCCAGCCGACCCAGUGCCUUCGUUCCGUGAAGUUCUGCACGAGCCCGUCCUGCUCUAGAAUCCUGGGAAUGGUACAGAUUUGGACACUCUCUUCUUGCUGUAAUACAAAGCUUUUAUUUUUAUUAUUCUUUAAAAAAAAAAAAAAGUUUUAAGUAGGCUCC